rnacentral:tRNA from 1 species
UAACUAGGACCAAUUCAGUCACGUUUUCAUUCAUUUGGAAUCUGGGCUCUUCUACUUCAUUUUUAUUUACUU